GGUAAUGAUGAUUCUGUUUGACACCCAGUCUUACUUCCUUGUUGAAGCUGGUGAUAAAUAUUGACCUUUUAUCUGAUCC
rfam:Ricinus communis ctg_1100012356183, whole genome shotgun sequence.